CUUCAAAUAGGUUUGGGCCAUGUUAUCAACAAUAAGGGUGAAAAGAUUAUGAAGGAAAUAAACCAGCUUCAAGAAAAGGGAGUGCAUUUAAUGGAAGAAAAUGAACGAUUAAGACAGCAGGU